rnacentral:rRNA from 1 species
GAUGAACGCUGGCGGCGUGCCUAACACAUGCAAGUCGAGCGAUUCUCUUCGGAGAAGAGCGGCGGACGGGUGAGUAACGCGUGGGUAACCUGCCCUGUACACACGGAUAACAUACCGAAAGGUAUGCUAAUACGAGAUAAUAUGCUUUUAUCGCAUGGUAGAAGUAUCAAAGCUUUUGCGGUACAGGAUGGACCCGCGUCUGAUUAGCUAGUUGGUAAGGUAACGGCCUACCAAGGCGACGACCAGUAGCCGACCUGGGAGGGUGAUCGGCCACAGUGGAACUGAGACACGGUCCAAACUCCUACGGGAGGCAGCAGUGGGGAAUAUUGCACAAUGGGCGAAAGCCGGAUGCAGCAACGCCGCGUGAGCGAUGAAGGCGUUCGGGUCGUAAAGUUCUGUCCUCAAGGAAGAUAAUGACGGUACUUGAGGAGGAAGCCCCGGCUAACUACGUG